rfam:Felis catus isolate Cinnamon breed Abyssinian chromosome C1, whole genome shotgun sequence.
GCCUGGGUGGCUCAGUCAGUUGAGCGUGUGACUUCGGCUCAGGUCAUGAUUUCACAGUUCGUGGGUUCGAGCCCUGCGUCAGGCU